UAACUAUGUUCGAUAAAAUAUAAGAGACUUUGUAAAAUUUCAAUGUAAAUUGGGCAUUUAGUUGUGGGUGGAAAUGCUAUAAUCUGAGGGGAAACAAUCUGCUUCUUCGAUUUCUCCGCCCUGAGAGAUUUCAGAAAUCCCAAAUUCUUGUUUCGAGGUAUGAAGUCGGUGUUCAGCGGAUUUUCCCCAUUUUGUUUUUGAGUGGCGAUCUAGCGAAUGACGGACGAUCUUGGUUUUCUUAUCCGGUUAAUCUUUCGAACUCGAUUUAUUUUUUUGUUGUCGCUGUGGCUCGCAUUUUUAGAGCAACAACUGAUAUAUUCGUAGAGGAGUGGGAUAAGAUUCUUGAUUGUGUCUGGGCCUGAAAGUGACUUCUGAGCUUUUGCAAAUAGCUUGAGUGAACUCUGUUUGGAUGCUUUCUGGGUUCUGAGUAAUUGGAGAAGAAAUUUUGGAGAACUUUCAUAUUGAUCGUUUGAGAUCUAGAUAGGAGUUUUCGUAGUUUUUUCUUUUUAUUUAUUUAUUUUUUUCAUUUUCCAUAUGGAGGUUACUGAUCAAACAGGCCCCAUCAGCCACUCCUUUCCAUUUUGAGAUUCUACCUGUAAAUUCUAUGGGGAAAACCUUUUAGUUUCCUUAUUAAAUUUUCCCCCAAAACUCUUUCACUCGUCUGGAGAAGAACCGAUGGCCGUGUCUUUCAGCCGUUUUUCAUUGUGGUUUUGGAAGGGGAAGGAGAAAGAGUCUGUCGCAAAUGGGGCGCCUUCAAAUUCUUCCACCGAGGUUGGUACUGGUCUGAGAGAACCGGAGAGUCUCAAGUUGAAGAGGGUGGACUUGGGUUCAUUUUCAAAGAAGGUCAAGAACCAGAAAUGGCGAAGUAAGAAAGAAACAACAAGGAUUGACUGGGAAUACGAUUUUCUGAUUGUACCAUCUGGCGGUGAUGACAUGCAAAUGCCUGACUCUGCUGAUGAGGCCGAUUGGUCUAUUGGUUGGUUGGAGCCUCACGGUCCUGGCUUUCAGAGUGAUGAUAGUUUUGCCGUUCUGGUCCCUUCCUAUAGCAAUCGUUGCAAAGAGGUGGUGGAGGGUUCAAACGUCGAGCUUUUGGCUGCCAUAAAAAACCUUCAACAUGAAUUCUCACCUGAGAGCAAGAAGUAUAUGGAACUGUGGCUUUCUUCUUCCCUGCAAAUCUCGGAAACUUGACGUGCUUUUGGCGACGAUGAUGAAGGGCAGGUUCUCUGAUUACCGCAAAGUUCAUCGUCAUCUUGAGCCGAAGUUUACAAAUUAGACCAACUCAAGUCUUGUUUUGUGCAUAUCAUGUAAACUUGCGUUACAUUCGCCUCAUUUUCAAGGCAUUGCAAGUCUGCAAACACGUGAGGGAGGUUUUCAAAAUUGACUGUGAAUUUCGAUUGGAAAAAGAUUCAAUCACGGAGAUUACUCGUUCUGGAAAUGCUACCUGGAACUAAUUUGGAUUCGUCUGUUCCAGUAAUGCAAUGAGGAGGAGUGAAGAUUCUGGCGAGUCUCGCCGACUCUUCCACCAGUUGAGAAAUUUGUUUGUCUUGCUGUUUCGGACUCACAAUCCAGUCAAAUUAACGGAAGCACCAAACCUGACAGAGAUCUUCUCCGUGAUUAAUCGAAAUUUCGAGCUGGAAUUACCUAUAUCUCAAGAGGUAAUUUCUAGAGUAAGAUGUGAAUGAGAAGAACAAAAAGGAGCGAAUGGAAUUACCAAAUUUCUAGCUCCGAUGGACGACAUUGAUAAGGACGAGGCCGGUUUGACGUCACCGGACAAAACGAAAGGCUCUCGACUCACCGGAAGACGAGAGUCGGGGAGGGAGAGGACAUUGGUGACGUUGAGACGACGCCUAAUUGGGAGCUGUUUUUGUUUUGUUUGUUUUUUUUUCGAUUCACUCAAUAGAUAAUUUUCUUACAAAAACAAAAUACGUCAUUGUCUCUAUCAAUAUCCAAUCUUAUUAUUCUAUUUAGGCAAUCUUAUUAUUAUAUUUACUUUUGUAAGAAAGUAAGAUUUCCAGACCUCAAAAGGCAUCAUAUUCAUCCAAAAACCGGUCCAUCGCUGCAAGGCAACCACCCACCGAUUGUUGAGUUUCAGUCUCCGCCAUGUGUAACGGCCACCACCGAUCUUUGUUCAGAGGUAGCAUUUCUCCUAACCAGACCUCCGUACCGGAAAACGGCGACGCUUCCGUUGUGGACAAUCUACGGGGUCGAUUAGCGGAAACAGAGUCGCGGCUGGCUCAAGUUAGGGCUCGAGAGGCGGCGCUCAGCCGAAUCUUGGAGGAAAUGAAACGAUUAGUUUCUGUGAUGGAGAUCCUCAAGAACUACCUGAAACGGCGGUACAGAGACCGCCAAGAAUAUGUGGUUCGUCUCCUCGCCCCUCUAUCUAGAAAAUAGAAAUUCCUCUUCUUCAUCGCUGUCUGUAAUAUUAGCGGUACCAAUCAAAAACUCGUUUUGGUUACAUGCUUCUUCGUUCUUCUUAUUCACAAGUCUUGUUGACUAUAUUCUCCACCAAAUCUACGGAUUUAUUUAUUCGCUCUUGAUUUCA